rnacentral:rRNA from 1 species
CAAUAGCGUAUAUUAAAGUUGUUGCGGUAAAAAAGCUCGUAGUUGGAUUUCUACCGAAGAUAGCCGGUCGGGUCUUCGACCUUGUAUCUGGUUUUGUCUUUGGUAUCCUCAUAGGGAACGUUUCUGCGCUUUAUUGCGUGGUGCGGUAUCUAUGACUUUUACUUUGAGGAAAUUAGAGUGUUCACAGCAGGCAAACGCCUUGAAUAUAUUAGCAUGGAAUAAUAACAUAGGAUCUUCGUCCUAUUUUGUUGGUUUCUAGGGCUAAGAUAAUGAUUAAUAGGGAUAAUUGGGGGCAUCUGUAUCAACGCGUCAGAGGUGGAAUUCUUGGAUUGCGUUGCGACAAACUACUGCGAAAGCAUUUGCCAAGGAUGUUUUCAUUGA